rnacentral:rRNA from 1 species
UGGGGAAUAUUGCACAAUGGGCGCAAGCCUGAUGCAGCGACGCCGCGUGAGGGAUGGAGGCCUUCUGGUUGUAAACCUCUUUCGCCAGUGAAGCAGGCCAUCUUCUUUGUGGGGUGGUUGACGGUAGCUGGAUAAGAAGCGCCGGCUAACUACGUGCCAGCAGCCGCGGUAAUACGUAGGGCGCGAGCGUUGUCCGGAAUUAUUGGGCGUAAAGAGCUCGUAGGCGGCUGGUCGCGUCUGUCGUGAAAUCCCCUGGCUUAACUGGGGGCUUGCGGUGGGUACGGGCCGGCUUGAGUGCGGUAGGGGGGACUGGAAGGCCUGGUGUAGCGGUGGAAUGCGCAGAUAUCAGGAGGAACACCGGUGGCGAAGGCGGGUCUCUGGGCCGUUACUGACGCUGAGGAGCGAAAGCGUGGGGAGCGAACAGG